rnacentral:antisense_RNA from 1 species
CUGCCUGCAGCGCUCUUCGGUCAAUGUCAGGCAAAUCAGCCCGCGUCCAUGCGUGGCCAUGAAAUUGAUCGCCGCCGGUGUGACAAAAUCGGCGGCCAGAAUCA